GAUUUACUUAUUAUUUGGUGUCCCAGAUACUUGCUAGAAGCAGUGAGAUCAUGAGGACCAGUCAUAUUUCUUCCAUUCCAGAGACAGUUUAGCCUGUCCAUCAAUGUCCUCUCCACCCUUUUCCCACUUCCUACAUCUGAAAAACCAGAUUUUCUAAAUGGGAAGCAAGGAGCUGGAGAAGUACAGGUUUUUGACUAUUCCAGAAUACCACUCUUAUCCCUCAGUGUUCUUGCAAAAGGCUUAACAUUUCUGGCAAAUUUCCCAAGUGAUCUUUUCAGUCAUCAGGUGCCGAAGUAGUACCCAUCACCUGAGACACACGCUCUCUUCCGCCCGGUCAGCAAGGCUAGGUGAAGCACAGGCAUUCUAGGUGUAAACCCCAACCCCUGUGUCCAUGACGACUGAAGUCUUUGGUCUUUCUUGGUGACAAAUUUGUAAUCAUCGUAGACUGUGCUUUCCGGAUUCUCUUCUAAUUCUUCUGUCAAGUUGUCUAGGAAGGAACACCACCUGGGAGCAGGACCCAAAACCUACCGUGUUGAUCAACAGGGCAAACGCAAAGCUCUGCCAUACACUGAAGUAGUGCUAAGACGGCAGCUUCCUCCUCUUUCAGACAAAAACUGGGGCUUAAUAAUCACCGAUCACAAGCCUGAAACCAGAGAGGCAGCUGGGUGAGCCGAGGGUGAGCCGAGGGAGUGGCCACGCACUUAGGCGUGUAAUUGCAUCUGCAACACGAUGAGCUGCCUAACUGCACACCCAAGUUCACAUGCAUUUGCGUGAGUAAUUUCCAUCAAUAUAAAAAGGUAUUAACUUUCAAGGACAAAAAGAACAAAAGAAGAAAAUGCAGCAGUUGAGGAAUUUAGCAUGGUGAACCUAACAGAAAAAGAAGAGCAGAUUCUUCCCUGGAGCCCUUGAGACCCAGGACUUCCAGGCUCCAUUCAUCUGGGGUACCAAGCCUGACGGAGGGGAGGUGAUGGAGAUGAUGAAAGCCUAAGUUCUCACCACCCAGGAGGAGACCAGAGGAUAAUUCUUCGGAGAAAGUGAAUAGGACAGGAGAGAGGAUGCCAGCACAAGAGAUUUGCACUGUGAGGCUGAAAUUAGCACAAUGAAUGCCAAUCUGUGUGUCCAGCAGCAGCAUGUAUUCUGUGAAAGCCACAAAAAAAGUAAAAUACACAGAGGCCCUGCCCUUGAGGAGCUGACACCUGAGACCACGACAUCAGAAGAUGGACAAACUUUCUUGGAAUUGGAGAAGAGAGUCAAAGUAAAGACUGUCAGCUCUGGAAGUUCCAUCCUUCCCCGCUCCGCCCCACAUUCCACCAGCUUUUCCCGUAUUCCUAGUCACAGACAUUGUCCCCUACAGCCCGACACCCCACCAUUUCCUCUGGCUCACGCAGAACCGCCUUAAGAUAUCACUCCUCUUCCAUAGCUCAAGAAACGAAGAAUCAGCCAGGGUAAAUAACCCACUCAAGGCCUCAAAAUUUGACUGUACAUGGACACACCAGUUGGCCAGAGAGAUCUCAUAUCUGGGGAAUCAUCAAAUAUCUGAUUAGUGGACACCAAAGGGCUUUCAGUACUGACUUUGAAUUGAAACGGAUCAACUGGAAUCAUCAUUGUUUAGAUUCAAACCCACAUCUUAGACAAGAACAUGCACAGUACUUCCAGCAACUCCUGCUUAAAAGCACAGGACACACAGGGAGAAAAACAAAGGCAUUACUUCCACUCUUUAAAACAUAUAGGUCUGCUCUACUCAGAUGAAAAGCCAACUUUUGCACAAAUUUCAAAAAGGGUCCAACAAAAGCUAAAUACCUAUAUUCUCAUAUUUUCCUUUUGUAUUCUUCUAGGAAAGGGUUUAUCCUCUUAACAGUAUCACUAGUAAAUCUUCUGGACAAGGUAUUACUUUUAUAAAUCUGUCAGCACUCCCAAAUACAGAGAUUGCAUCACUCUAAGAUGUUCUGAUCUAGCUGAUUAGAAUGUACUGUCAGAGCAAAGGAACUGAUCCUUAUCCCACCGUAUGAAAAUUAUACUCUGGCACUUAAGAGGCAUGUUCUCCACUUUUGUGAUUCAGGAGUGGUAGCAGAAAAAGGCCCAUGCAAAAUUCGAAUUUGACAUAAUAGCUAAAAAUUAACACUGCCAACCAGCCACUGUGGAAGCUGACAAUCACAAAGAUUCUCCAAAUCAGUCAUCAGAUUACUCUCACACAUAUUUAUUGAUUUUUCAAUACACACUAAUUGAAUGCCUACAGUGUAACAGGCACUGCUUUAGGUGCUAGAAGUUUAAUGGUAGAAAAGCCAAAAUCCUGAAUCCCUGUUUUAUAUUUUAUUUUUAUAUUCUGUAUAUUAUGAUGAAGAAAUACAUAAACUUUUAAGUAGAUUAAUUAGCAUAGGAAAAAUACUGUGCUUUCAUGGAAAACUAUGCAUAGUCUAGAGCAGGGGUCGGGAAAUUUUUUCUUAAAGGGCCAGGUACAUAUUACAGGGUUUGUGAGCCAUACGGUCUCUGUUACAAAUACUCAACACUGCCAAGGACAAUACAGACACAAAUGGGUUUGCUGUGUUCCAAUAAA